UACGUAGGGGGCAAGCGUUGUCCGGAAUUAUUGGGCGUAAAGGGUGCGUAGGCGGGUCUUUAAGUCAGGGGUGAAAUCCUGGAGCUCAACUCCGGAACUGCCUUUGAUACUGAAGAUCUUGAGUUCGGGAGAGGUGAGUGGAACUGCGAGUGUAGAGGUGAAGUUCGUAGAUAUUCGCAAGAACACCAGUGGCGAAGGCGGCUCACUGGCCCGAUACUGACGCUGAGGCACGAAAGCGUGGGGAGCAAACAGG
rnacentral:rRNA from 1 species